UACAGCCAUACCAUGGAAACACUGGUUCUUGUAUAAACACUGAAGUUAAGCAAUGUUGCAUCUGGUUGGUACCUAGAUGGGUGACUGCUCGGGAAUACACGGUGCUGUAAG